GCGAGGGUGGCGGAAUUGGCAGACGCGCUGGAUUUAGGAUCCAGUUCCGUUUAGGAAUGGGGGUUCAAAUCCCCCUCCUCGCA
rnacentral:tRNA from 2 species